UUGAUUCUGUUGGAGGUUUGAUGACCUUUGUAUUUGUGACAUCAACUGAUGUGUAUCUGUGAUCAAUCUACAUAGUGUAACUGAGUCUGAGUUAUUUAUGAUUUCAGAAAGAGGAAAUUAAGUCUUGUGAAGAACGGGUAAAGAAACUUCUUGAGGUAAUUCCACCUAAAGGAAAGGAGUUUCUUCACUGCAUUGAACAUAUACUGGAAAGGGAAAAGAAUUGGGUUUGGUGGAAACGUGAUGGUUGCCCCCCAUUUGAAAAGCAACCAAUAGAAAAGAAAACAGGUCAAGAUGGAGUAAAAAGACGGAGGCCACGGUGGAGACUGGGAAAUAAAGAACUCUCUCAGUUGUGGAAGUGGGCAGAUCAGAAUCCUGUAUACUUCAUAUACUGCAUAUGCUUUCUGGUUAUUUGUAGGCAGAAAUUUUAGUUUAUUUGUAUGUCUGUAAAUGAGCACCCAAAAAAGAGAGAGAGAGAGAGAGAGAGAGAGAGAGAG